AGCGGCUGGCGGCGGGCGAUGCCCCCGCGAAUCCGGUCAGGGCCGAAAGGCAGCAGCCGUAACGGGAUUCGCAUCGGGUCGUCCGUCAGCCACUUCA
rnacentral:SRP_RNA from 1 species